GACGAACGCUGGCGGCGUGCUUAACACAUGCAAGUCGAACGGAAAGGCCCCUUCUGGGGUACUCGAGUGGCGAACGGGUGAGUAACACGUGAGUAACCUGCCCUUGACUUCGGGAUAACUUCAGGAAACUGGGGCUAAUACCGGAUAGGAAUCCUUGCUGCAUGGUGGGGGUUGGAAAGCUUCGGCGGUUUUGGAUGGACUCGCGGCUUAUCAGCUUGUUGGUGGGGUAGUGGCUUACCAAGGCUUUGACGGGUAGCCGGCCUGAGAGGGCGACCGGCCACAUUGGGACUGAGAGACGGCCCAGACUCCUACGGGAGGCAGCAGUGGGGAAUAUUGCACAAUGGGCGGAAGCCUGAUGCAGCAACGCCGCGUGCGGGAUGACGGCCUUCGGGUUGUAAACCGCUUUCAGCAGGGGCGAAGCUUGUGGUGACGGUACCUGCAGAAGAAGCACCGGCUAACUACGUG
rnacentral:rRNA from 1 species